rnacentral:rRNA from 1 species
UACAGAGGUCUCAAGCGUUGUUCGGAUUCAUUGGGCGUAAAGGGUGCGUAGGCGGCGCGGUAAGUCGGGUGUGAAAUUUCGGAGCUUAACUCCGAAACUGCAUUCGAUACUGCUGUGCUUGAGGACUGGAGAGGGGACUGGAAUUUACGGUGUAGCAGUGAAAUGCGUAGAGAUCGUAAGGAAGACCAGUGGCGAAGGCGGGUCUCUGGACAGUUCCUGACACUGAGGCACGAAGGCCAGGGGAGCAAACGGG